rnacentral:tRNA from 1 species
GCGGGUAUAGCUCAGUGGUGGAGCAUGUGCUUAGCAUGCACGAGGUCUUGGGUUCAAUCCCCAGUACCUCCA